UGGGGAAUAUUGCACAAUGGGCGCAAGCCUGAUGCAGCCAUGCCGCGUGUAUGAAGAAGGCCUUCGGGUUGUAAAGUACUUUCAGCGGGGAGGAAGGGAGUAAAGUUAAUACCUUUGCUCAUUGACGUUACCCGCAGAAGAAGCACCGGCUAACUCCGUGCCAGCAGCCGCGGUAAUACGGAGGGUGCAAGCGUUAAUCGGAAUUACUGGGCGUAAAGCGCACGCAGGCGGUUUGUUAAGUCAGAUGUGAAAUCCUCGGGCUCAACCUGGGAACUGCAUCUGAUACUGGCAAGCUUGAGUCUCGUAGAGGGGGGUAGAAUUCCAGGUGUAGCGGUGAAAUGCGUAGAGAUCUGGAGGAAUACCGGUGGCGAAGGCGGCCCCCUGGACGAAGACUGACGAUCAGGUGCGAAAGCGUGGGGAGCAAACAGG
rnacentral:rRNA from 1 species